rnacentral:tRNA from 1 species
GGGCUCGUAGCUCAGCUAGGCAGAGCACCGGGCUUUUAACGCCUGCGGCGUUGCUGCUGCGUGCAGAAACCCGAUGGCCGAGGGUUCAAAUCCCUUCGAGCCCG